AGCAGACAAGAACCAAAUCAAAUGUUUUAAAAGAACACUGAGGCACUUCAUGCUGUCCAUUUGACUUGGCUUUUCAUGAAAGGGCUGCAGCAGAGACACCUGCAAUAGAGUGACAGCUUGCAAAAGGAUGACAGGGAGAUCUACUGUUUUCAAACAUGAACUUGGUUUCCUGAGUGCACACAUCAGACACAUCUAGUGUUUGAAACAGACUUCUGCUUUUAUCUCAUGCAGACCUCGUUCACCUCAGCCCUCUCGGUCAUCCGGCCUUCACCUGCAGACUCUCUGAGGGAUGGAUGAUACCCGAGAGGAAGCUUUCUUUACCUCCAGAUGAUCUCCAACAGAUGUCAUACAAAGUAGUGUAUAUACAGAGUGUUUAGUUUAUUAUUCACAUGUCCUUCCUAGGUCAAUAAACUGAUAAUGGACGAGAAUGAUUUGGAGACGUAUGCAAAGAGAGAAUGAUUCAAUCUGGAAGGUGAUGAAAUAAUGUUUAAUGAAUAUCUGACGACAUUUCAAAGAAUGGGGAAAAAUCCCAUGAAGCCCAGAGAUAAAAGCUGGACCAUAUAUGAGAAAAAGUGCAUCGUUGUGGAGCUGCAGACGGAUAACAACUCUGUCUUUGUCUUUUGCCAAACACAACCUCCGCUUCAAGAUCUGUGCCUUCUUUGGUCUACCCUUCCCCAAAUAUCUCUUCAGCUGUGUUUUUAUAUGAAACAUUUUACGGUUAUUCAGAGGGAGAAAUUUGUUUACGAAGCAAUUUGUGUCCAGGAUCACCCGUCAUGAGCGAGAAUCACAAAUUUCCUCGACUCAGAGAUGCUUCCUUUUCAAAAUUGCAGGUCAAGUGCUCCUCCCAGGAGCUGAAUCCAUUAAUACUAAUGUAUUAUACACAAAGCACUCAACAAAACACAGAUUAACGCAGCGGGUUUGAGAAAGUCCUGAUAUCUAACCUCCAGGACAUAUUGGAUGAAAGAGGAAACCAUGAUUAGUUUGGCUGUGUGCAUGCAGAAAUGAAAUUAUAGCCAUUGGCAAGGUCUAUAUGAUCAGUACAUGUAGGCUUUAUUAAACUGUAAUUAAUCUGAAAUGUGCCUUUGGUUAUAUUCAACUUAAUAUGAUUACAGUGAAGUUUUGCCCUUCAUUUAAAACUAACUUGUGAUAUUACUCGUAUAGACGCCAAAAAAGUUUGUACAUCUGCAUUUUAAGGGGAGCAGGUUUUUUUUUCCUCAAGGGAGGCAUGUAAAUAAGAUUAACUGACACUCUUUCUAUCAGAAAAAUAUCCCCAAGGUUUCCACUUACACUUGGGAUGAUAAAAAAUAAAGAAUAAAAACUGUGACAACACA